UUAAGCGACUAAGCGUACACGGUGGAUGCCCUGGCAGUCAGAGGCGAUGAAGGACGUGCUAAUCUGCGAUAAGCGUCGGUGAGGUGAUAUGAACCGUUAUAACCGGCGAUUUCCGAAUGGGGAAACCCAGUGUGUUUCGACACACUAUCAUUAACUGAAUCCAUAGGUUAAUGAGGCGAACCGGGGGAACUGAAACAUCUAAGUACCCCGAGGAAAAGAAAUCAACCGAGAUUCCCCCAGUAGCGGCGAGCGAACGGGGAGGAGCCCAGAGCCUGAAUCAGUGUGUGUGUUAGUGGAAGCGUCUGGAAAGGCGCGCGAUACAGGGUGACAGCCCCGUACACAAAAAUGCACAUGCUGUGAGCUCGAUGAGUAGGGCGGGACACGUGGUAUCCUGUCUGAAUAUGGGGGGACCAUCCUCCAAGGCUAAAUACUCCUGACUGACCGAUAGUGAACCAGUACCGUGAGGGAAAGGCGAAAAGAACCCCGGCGAGGGGAGUGAAAAAGAACCUGAAACCGUGUACGUACAAGCAGUGGGAGCCUCUUAAUGGGGUGACUGCGUACCUUUUGUAUAAUGGGUCAGCGACUUAUAUUCUGUAGCAAGGUUAACCGAAUAGGGGAGCCGAAGGGAAACCGAGUCUUAACUGGGCGUUAAGUUGCAGGGUAUAGACCCGAAACCCGGUGAUCUAGCCAUGGGCAGGUUGAAGGUUGGGUAACACUAACUGGAGGACCGAACCGACUAAUGUUGAAAAAUUAGCGGAUGACUUGUGGCUGGGGGUGAAAGGCCAAUCAAACCGGGAGAUAGCUGGUUCUCCCCGAAAGCUAUUUAGGUAGCGCCUCGUGAAUUCAUCUCCGGGGGUAGAGCACUGUUUCGGCAAGGGGGUCAUCCCGACUUACCAACCCGAUGCAAACUGCGAAUACCGGAGAAUGUUAUCACGGGAGACACACGGCGGGUGCUAACGUCCGUCGUGAAGAGGGAAACAACCCAGACCGCCAGCUAAGGUCCCAAAGUCAUGGUUAAGUGGGAAACGAUGUGGGAAGGCCCAGACAGCCAGGAUGUUGGCUUAGAAGCAGCCAUCAUUUAAAGAAAGCGUAAUAGCUCACUGGUCGAGUCGGCCUGCGCGGAAGAUGUAACGGGGCUAAACCAUGCACCGAAGCUGCGGCAGCGACACUAUGUGUUGUUGGGUAGGGGAGCGUUCUGUAAGCCUGUGAAGGUGGCCUGUGAGGGUUGCUGGAGGUAUCAGAAGUGCGAAUGCUGACAUAAGUAACGAUAAAGCGGGUGAAAAGCCCGCUCGCCGGAAGACCAAGGGUUCCUGUCCAACGUUAAUCGGGGCAGGGUGAGUCGACCCCUAAGGCGAGGCCGAAAGGCGUAGUCGAUGGGAAACAGGUUAAUAUUCCUGUACUUGGUGUUACUGCGAAGGGGGGACGGAGAAGGCUAUGUUGGCCGGGCGACGGUUGUCCCGGUUUAAGCGUGUAGGCUGGUUUUCCAGGCAAAUCCGGAAAAUCAAGGCUGAGGCGUGAUGACGAGGCACUACGGUGCUGAAGCGACAAAUGCCCUGCUUCCAGGAAAAGCCUCUAAGCAUCAGGUAACAUCAAAUCGUACCCCAAACCGACACAGGUGGUCAGGUAGAGAAUACCAAGGCGCUUGAGAGAACUCGGGUGAAGGAACUAGGCAAAAUGGUGCCGUAACUUCGGGAGAAGGCACGCUGAUAUGUAGGUGAAGCGACUUGCUCGUGGAGCUGAAAUCAGUCGAAGAUACCAGCUGGCUGCAACUGUUUAUUAAAAACACAGCACUGUGCAAACACGAAAGUGGACGUAUACGGUGUGACGCCUGCCCGGUGCCGGAAGGUUAAUUGAUGGGGUUAGCGGCAACGCGAAGCUCUUGAUCGAAGCCCCGGUAAACGGCGGCCGUAACUAUAACGGUCCUAAGGUAGCGAAAUUCCUUGUCGGGUAAGUUCCGACCUGCACGAAUGGCGUAAUGAUGGCCAGGCUGUCUCCACCCGAGACUCAGUGAAAUUGAACUCGCUGUGAAGAUGCAGUGUACCCGCGGCAAGACGGAAAGACCCCGUGAACCUUUACUAUAGCUUGACACUGAACAUUGAGCCUUGAUGUGUAGGAUAGGUGGGAGGCUUUGAAGUGUGGACGCCAGUCUGCAUGGAGCCGACCUUGAAAUACCACCCUUUAAUGUUUGAUGUUCUAACGUUGGCCCCUAACCCGGGUUGCGGACAGUGUCUGGUGGGUAGUUUGACUGGGGCGGUCUCCUCCUAAAGAGUAACGGAGGAGCACGAAGGUUGGCUAAUCCUGGUCGGACAUCAGGAGGUUAGUGCAAUGGCAUAAGCCAGCUUGACUGCGAGCGUGACGGCGCGAGCAGGUGCGAAAGCAGGUCAUAGUGAUCCGGUGGUUCUGAAUGGAAGGGCCAUCGCUCAACGGAUAAAAGGUACUCCGGGGAUAACAGGCUGAUACCGCCCAAGAGUUCAUAUCGACGGCGGUGUUUGGCACCUCGAUGUCGGCUCAUCACAUCCUGGGGCUGAAGUAGGUCCCAAGGGUAUGGCUGUUCGCCAUUUAAAGUGGUACGCGAGCUGGGUUUAGAACGUCGUGAGACAGUUCGGUCCCUAUCUGCCGUGGGCGCUGGAGAACUGAGGGGGGCUGCUCCUAGUACGAGAGGACCGGAGUGGACGCAUCACUGGUGUUCGGGUUGUCAUGCCAAUGGCACUGCCCGGUAGCUAAAUGCGGAAGAGAUAAGUGCUGAAAGCAUCUAAGCACGAAACUUGCCCCGAGAUGAGUUCUCCCUGA
rnacentral:rRNA from 1 species